rnacentral:rRNA from 1 species
AUGGAAUCAAGUGAGAAGACUGCUGCAACUGUUGGCCCCUCGUCGAGGAUGAAGACGACGAAAUCAACAGAUCGAUUUGGUACGAUUCCGCUGGCAUCCCGACUGUCUCGUGUCAAAAACGUCUCAGUCAUCCGAUCUGAAGCUCCGGGGAACAAGCGGAAGCUGCCUGUGUCGCAGAUGAACCCACUCGGCCCUUUUCACACGCAAUGUGGAGCUGCUGGACGACGGCGACCUCCUCUCUCUGAUUCAGCUCAGAUAAACAUAUCAACUGUGGAAGAAAGCCUAGAACUAAGAAAUGCUGGUACCACAGACGGUGAUGAGAUUACCUGCUGGACUGUUCAGACCGACACCCCGCAUUACCCAGAAAAAUAUGAGCAAGUGUACAUGUUGAAGCCAGAGGUACGACAAACUACAAGAUACCCACCACCAUCAACACCGGGUGAUGAGAGCAGUGUACCGCAUCAUGGACAUAUGAUGCGUGCUGCUAUGCAUAAACAAUGA